rnacentral:lncRNA from 1 species
CUGUAGUGAGGAUCUUCGCUCAGAUGUCGCCACGUGGCGUGUCUUUAAAGUGAAAAAAAACCUAUGAACCACACCUUUCAACCGGGUUCACAUUUAAAAUAACCCAGCCUACACUCCCUUUCUCUUCCUCGAUUUCCGGCCGUAGGUGUAUUUCUGCCAAUUUAUAGAGUUGUAUCAGUCCAAUCAAAUGUCUUCAACCUCCAUCCUUCCCUCA